ACGCCUCACCGGGGGUGUCUGCUGCGAUGGCAGGCUGAGAAAGUCCCCAUACCUGAUCUGGAUCAUGCCAGCGUAGGGAGCGUGAAGGUUCUGGGGU
rnacentral:ncRNA from 2 species